AUUGAACGCUGGCGGCAGGCCUAACACAUGCAAGUCGAGCGGAUGAGGGAAGCUUGCUUCCUGAUUUAGCGGCGGACGGGUGAGUAAUGCCUAGGAAUCUGCCUAUUAGUGGGGGAUAACGUUCCGAAAGGAACGCUAAUACCGCAUACGUCCUACGGGAGAAAGUGGGGGAUCUUCGGACCCCACGCUAAUAGAUGAGCCUAGGUCGGAUUAGCUAGUUGGUGAGGUAACGGCUCACCAAGGCGACGAUCCGUAGCUGGUCUGAGAGGAUAAUCAGCCACACUGGAACUGAGGCACGGUCCAGACUCCUACGGGAGGCAGCAGUGGGGAAUAUUGGACAAUGGGCGAAAGCCUGAUCCAGCCAUGCCGCGUGUGUGAAGAAGGUCUUCGGAUUGUAAAGCACUUUAAGUUGGGAGGAAGGGCUGUAAGCUAAUACCCUUGAUGAGUGGACGUUACUCGCAGAAUAAGCACCGGCUAACUCUGUGCCAGCCGCCGCCGUAAUAC
rnacentral:rRNA from 1 species